CUAUCGCCCACAGGAACACAACAUACAUUUCCUCUUGAGGCGCUACAUUUCUGAACUGUUCAUGCAACGAACAUCCCGCACUCAGGAUGGAGACGUGCUACACAAUGUGCUCUCUGUUAGCAGUUUGCCCGAAGUAAGUAUUAGAAUUCAAGGAGCUGUCUGAAGUUAUUCAUCCUUAAGAAAAGGAAGUUGAAGGGCUUGGUUGAGGCUUUCGCUGAGGCAGAGAAUAUAACAAGGUGCUCUCUAGGUACUAUGGUCUGAGGGACUUCGAUUAAUUGUCAAGUGAUCUGGUUAAUACAAGUCAGAGUAAGUCUUAAGUAAUUCUAAUAUUCUAGCAUGUUUCAGGCCCACUUAGAUGUUUCCUUGAUUCAUAAUGCCCAUUUUACUCUCACACACAUAUAAUAGGGCCUCUUUAAAUUCUGUUUAUGGGAAUAUAAAUGUUCCAUUAAUCUCUUUGAUCACUCUAGAAAGUGCUGUGCUUUCAUCCUCUGUGAUAAUAGGUGAAGUGUUCUCGUGACUAAUAUACAGAUGGAGAUAAGCCUUAUUAAGAGCAUUCUAGAGGUGCCUGGAUGGCUCAAUUGGUUAAGUGUCUGACUUUGGCUUAGGUCAUGAUCUCACGGUUCGUGGGUUCGAGCCCCAAGUGAGGCUCUGUGCUAACAGCUCAGAGCUUGGAGCCUGCUUUGGAUUCUGUGCCUCUCUCUCACUCUGCCCCUCCCCUUCUCAAGCUCUGUCUCUCUUUCAAAAAUAAGUACACAUUAAAAGAAAGAGAGAAAGAAAUGCCAGUAGUGUGCUGUAUUUAUUCUGGGAGAAAUGUCUAAUUGCUUAGCCCUGCAGCAUUCUAACCUGGGGCCUCUUCAUCCUGUUGGGACAGAGGGAGGGGUCCUUUAAAUUGCAGUUGUUGGAAAGAAUUAGCUCUAGAUCAGAACCCCAGGUGCAAAGCAAUUCUUUUGGGGGAAGAACAGAACCUCAUAACAGGGUCUGUUCACAUGUAAUGAUUUUCCCUUUGAACCAUUAUCACAUAGACCAUCAGGUACCCCUCACUUUUCCACUGUAAAUGCAUGUAUGCAGCUAAGCAAACGCAUUUGCAAAACUCCAUCUCCUACAAGCAAAAAGAAGCUGAAAAUAUCACUGGCAGGUAAUCAACAUUUAAACAUGAAGAAUUCACUGAUCACUUCAUAAAAGUGCUGUUCAAAGAAUACCCCAUCAAGGCCCAAUUUCGUGACAUAGUCUGAACUUCAGUUCUUCAAGUACUAUAGUUUGUUCUUAAACAGUAUCACCUAUUUAGUUUGUUACAUUACAUAUGCAUCUAUUGCCAAAUGUUUUCCCAUAGGUGUCAGCGACUUCAAAAGGGCAAUCUUAUUUUACCCAGUCAGAGAAAACCUGUUAUUACCAAAAAGCUAUGCAUACACGAGGAGCCAUCUUAGGAAGCUUUCUGGAACAACUAUUGCAGAAAUGGAAGUUAAACAUUCUAGAGUGAUAUUUUAAGAAAUGCUCUGAGACUAGAACUUCUUCAUGCUCAUUGAGCUUGGUGAAAACAAAACAAAAUUAAACAAAAUCCUUAGAAACAUGCAAACCAGAGGCACCUUAACUUGCUAACUGAAAAGGGUAACUAGAUAUGCAGCCUCUGUCUAUUUCAGUAAACAGAGUUCUCAGAAACACCGUGAAAACUGUUAAGAUUUUAUUUGAGCCAAACUUACUUUCUCCCGGUACUUUUUGGACUGGAUGGUAACUCUAUCCACUCCCCUGUUAGGCUUGUAAUUCUUUCCAUUCUAAGACCUACCUCCAGGCAAGGAAGAACCUGAUUUGAAGUCUUUAUCCUUCUUAGUUGACCUGACUUUAAAUUAAAUUUAUUUACCCAUUUUGCUGUGUGAAAUUUGUAUUAUACUAUUACUUUUACCUAUUUAUAUAUAUAAUACAGUAUAUAUUUAUGUAUAUAUACACGUAAUAUAGUGUCAUAUUAACAUCAUAUAUAUAUUCUAAGAUAUUAUAAUGCUACUAUAAAUAAAAUAUACAGAUUGUUUGUACUUGUGUAUUGUAAUUCAUAAGAAAUAUAUAUAUUGGGUCAUUCAGAAGACCAAAAUAUAUUUUUUGUAUAUGUUUGGUCUUUAUCUACAGUUCUUGGCUCACAGUUCUUAAAUCCCUUGGAAUUUCCUGAUCCAUAAGAGCAAUGAGAGCAUCUUUUGUUAUAAUAUUUGGUGUCUUGUCCUAGAUUCUUGAAAAUAUUUCAGAGCCGUAAAAGAGAAAUGGGUGCCUUGUGAACAACUGGGUCUAUUUUAAUCAAGAUGAGACUUCUGGAAAUCCUCUGAGGUUGGGGGCUGAUUGCCAGAGGGACUAACCAUAGAAUACAGGUUUGAAAAUUUCAGUCCCACCCCCAUGAUUUCCUGGGAAGGAAGAGGGCUAGAGGUUGAAUCAAUCCCCAAUGGCCAAUAACUUAAUCAUUUGUGCCCAUGUAAUGAAACUUCCGUAAAAUCCCAAAAGGAGGGGCUUCGUAGAGAUACACUGAUGGUAAACCGUAAUGCUUUCAGGUGCCACUGUGUAGCUGGGGAGUAGGGGUGCAAAAGAACCUGACUCUGGGGGCCCAAACACACCAGGUUCAGCCAUUCGCCACUGACAAAAUCCAAAGGCAGAGAGAUGACAGGUGGUGAAAGAAGAAAGGAAUUUAGUUCAGUAAGGCAAUACCAGGAAGACAGUGGGCUAGUGUUUCAAAGACUGUCUCUAAAGUGCUGGAAAUACUUACAGGUUUAUAUGGCGCACAGGUUGGUGGGUACGUGCAGGUUGGCAGUAAAGGUCAAAUUGAUUAUUGUCUUGGGGUCAGUCACACAGGAUCUUACUGACUCAGGGCAGUCUUUCUUACUUGAGGGGGUAGUUUCAGUUCCCUUCAGAGGAUCCUUUGCCUGCAGGGUCUUUUGCUUGAGUUAAGAGAUAAGCUGGAAAGAAAAAUGUAAUCAAUUGGAAAGUUUGAAGUCAAAAUGGAGGUAGUUGAGUUCCCAAACUCCAUGAGGACAGAAGCUCUUUAGUUCAGGACCUCCCUCUAUGUAUCUCUUCAUCUUUCUGUUGAUUCAUGACCAUUAAUAUUCUUUGUAAUAAAUCAGUAAUCUAGUGAGUAAAUUGUUUUCCUGAUUCCUGUGAACUCUUCCAGCAAAUUAAUUGAACCCAAGGAGGGAAUAGUGGAAACCUCUGAUUUAUAGCCAGUUGGUCAGAGUACAGGUAACAACUUGAGACUGUGACUAGCAUUUGAAACGGAGAGCUAUUUUGUGGGACUGACACCUUUACCUGUGGAAUCUGAUGCUAUCUCUACAUAGAUAUUGUCAGAAUUGAGAUGAAUUGAGUUGAAUUCUCAAACACCCUGCUAAUGUCUAAGAAUUGUUUGUUGGUGUGGGGAAGCCUACACACACACACACACACACACACACACACACACACAUUGGAAUUGGGCCCAGGAACCCAAAAGAAUAUUUAUGUAUCCUAGUAACAAUGUAACAUCGUAUAUAACAUAGUAAUAUUCACAUAUGCACACACACAUAAAAUCUAGCAAUUUUAAUUAUUGUAGCUUUAUAAUAUCUCAGGGUUUUGCUUAAAACUUUCUAAGCUCCUCACACUUUCAAAAAGGAAAGUAGCAAAUAAACAAGGGAGAGGAAAUGGGAGGAGAGGUAAGAAAAGGAGGAGAACAUAAGGGAAAAAAGAAAAAUGACAUUGGAAUUGGAAUUAUAACUUACUUUGUGAAGAACUGUAUCUUUCUAAAACUAAGUCCUCCCUUCCCUGCAUGUAAUAGGCCUUUAUAAUUUUGUUGACAUUGUGAAUGAGGUUUUUCAUUUUUAUUGUAUUUUCAAAUAGUUAAGUAGUUAUAAAAUUGAUAUUUUACUUGCUAUCUGCUUAAGUCCUUUGUCUACAUCUUAAUUGGUUCAGCAUUCUAGAAGGAGUGACAAGGUAAUGAGAGUUAUUGCCUUCUCCCCACACCAAACACCCAACAAGUAUUUAUGUAGAUUUUCUUCCUUGACCUGUGGUUGCUAUGCACUGCUUCAUAAAUUUCCUGACCUUAAAACAUUCUUAUUUUCUGGUAGAUUUCCUACUCAAUCAUGAUAUAUUAUUAUAGUAAAAUCCUGUUGUAUUAAAUUCACUAAUAUCUGUGAAAGCCUACAUUGUCAUAAUUUAGAUACAACUGCAGGCUUUUGCACUUUGUGAGAUUUUGCUAUUUGGCUUAUAUUAGCUGAAUUGGAAAAUUUUCUUUCUUUCCCAGGCUCUUCAUAUUAAUUCUUCCUUGAUAGUUUAGAAGAAUUCAUCUGUAAAACUAUCAGGACAAGAGACUUUUAAAAACCCAAAAUAUUUAAUUAUUUCUCUAGAUAUUGGUCUUUUGAGGUUUUCUUAUUAUUUUAGAAAUGAUCUUAUUAAUUAAUGUUGCAUAAAAUAUUAUAUGUCAUUAAUAUAUUUAAUAUUAUCAUAGUUAUAUAAUAGUCUGUUUUAAAAUUUCAUAGAUAUAUUAUUAUAUUGAUGCUAAUUCCUUUUUGUUUAGAUUUACCAGCACAUUACACAUUUUUUAAUGUUUUUUUUAAAAAGUGUCUAGCUUUUAUGAUUGUCUAUAGAUUUUUCAAUUCCUAAUUACCUUAUUUUACUUUUUGUAUUAAUUAGUUUCCUUUUCCUAAAUUUGACUGCUCAUUUUCAAAUGUUUUGAGGCUUUUUUAAUCGUUUAUUUUCAUUCAUUUGUGUUUAAUAAUAGAAACGUGUAACCUAUCCUUUUCUAGAAUGGCUUCAGCCCCUUGCUGGUACGUUGUAUUUUUGGAACAUUGUAUUUUUAUUGUUCUCAUUUUCUGUAUAGUCUCUAUUUAGACUAUCUGGAAAUUCUCUCUUUUAUUCAAAAGUUGCUUAGAAGUAACUGACUUUAUUGUCUUUAAACUUAUGCUAGUAAUUUCCCUUUUUAUUUUGCUUGUAUUCAGUGAGCCCAUUUUAGUUUCAGACUUUUAUUUAGCUCAUUAAAAAUUUCCACGUCUUUUCAUUAAUACUUCUCUUUGGCUUCUCUUUCUCUUUCUGAGGUCUCUAUCAUAUGUAUAAUAAAUUUUUUACUUCUCUCAAUGCCUCAUCUUUUUAUUUCAUCAUUUUAAUCUCUGCUUCUCCUUAUGUAGGCUCGUGGAGAGUUUGUUAGACAUGUCAAACUCUUAAAAUCAAUUUGCUAUAAUAUAUAAAUCUUUAUUCACUGUCUCUUUCAUUGCUUUUAAUUUGGCAACCAUUUUUUAAAACUUGUCUUUAAAUUAUAGUGAAGUUGUUCUUAGAUGGGUUUGUUUUUAUCAGUGACCAUUUUGGUUACAUAAAUGUAGUGGUUUGUUUUUUGUUUUUUUUUAAUCUUACUGAGCACACAAAAAAUUUCAAAAUGUAUUCCUGUUUCUUUUCAUAAAUUCUAAUGUUUCAGAGCAGUCCCCUUCCUUUGUACUAAAAUAAUUAUGUGCCUGAUGAUUUUUCUGUCUCCUCAGGCACACCUGAGGCAAAGGAAAUUCUCUUGUUGUCUACAAUUAGAAGCUGACAGGGAACUGUCAAAGACUGGAUGAGUCUUUCUGUUCAAACCUCUCUAGCAUAAAAACGCGAAAAUAUGAAAAGCUGAGAUUUACUGUAAUCAUACUUUGCUAGUUCAGAGGUACAGUGGCCUGGGGAGAAAUAGGAAAUAUCUGAAGCCAAAGACAGCAAGUAGUAGCCAGGAAUUAGCUGGCAGAGGACCACCAUUCUUUGCCUGGCAUCGUUACAUUUGUUAGGAGCCAGCCAAAGAAGAGACCUACUUCUUACCUAGUGGGCCAAGUAGGCAGGGAGUAAAUGCCACUUUGGGCAUCUCUGCUUGCCAUGACCUCCUGGAACCAAUUGUUUUUCCCAGAAGCAGUAAUAGGAUCCAUAUUGUUCUGCUGACUUUGGAUGGAGGCAAAGGAGAAAAGGCUGGUGGCUAACAUGGAUUUUGCCAGGACUUUUGCACUUGCUCUUACCUAUACUUCACCUAUAGAGGAUCAUGUGUCCAAUCAACCAUUUCUUCAUUUCAGUCCUGUUUAUUCAAGUAACUCAAAAUUCCUCAGCUUGUCAUGUGAGAAAAUUCCCUGCUUCAUGGGUUAUCAGAAUUAGCAAAAGUUAUUCCUUACUUUCAUAUUCUGCUGGUCAUUUCCAUUCAACUCAUAUGAUCAUCAGUCAUAUGUGCUUACUCAAUCAUCUUUGUUAAUAUAGGAUUUUUUGUUUUGUUUUUGCACUAAUGGAUGUAGUCCCAUGUUUUCUGUUUUAUUUCAACCUCUGGUUGUGAAGUUUCUGAAAACGGUAUUAAACAACUAGGUCAGUUUGUCCUUUGACAUCUGGGAAAAUGCUAGACUUAUGUUGGUCCAUGAAUGGAAGAAAAGUCUAUGCUACUCUCUUCACCAUUUCCUAGCUUCCAUCAUCUUCCAAAACAGCUGCAAAGAGAGUUUUAACCAGCAUUUCAGAGAUCCCUUUACCUUUUUGUUUGUUUGAACAUAUUUCCCUCAAUGAAUUAACAAUAAUCCAUUACACUGCAAUGUUCAGAAAAAAAUUGUAUUUUUAAUCUAAAUAUUAGACUAGAUUGGAGGUUCAUUCUUUAUAACAAAAGGAACAAUUUCACUUGUAGAUUGAAACAAAUAAUAUUAUUUUCUUGAUAGUAAAAGCAAUAUAUACUUUCUUGAUAGUAAAAGCAAUAAAAAUAUGAAGGAGUGAACUGAAUAAAUGUAAAGAAAAAAAGGAAAAGAUAUUAUAAAAUCCUCUUAAGAUAAAUCAUCAGAAAUAUAUCUUUUUGGUCCUUAUGUACAAAAUCUAUUUAUUUCCAAAAACAAUUUCUCUCUUAAACUUCUGAUAUUCAAUCCCUUAUAGAUAUCUCAAAUACCACCAAAUUGUACCUGAACACUGCAAUGCAAUUUUAAAAAGAAGACACUCUUGUGAAUACAACCAAUAAUAUAAACAUUUCUCUUUUAACUUGAAGGUACUGAUCAUGCAUGUCCAGUGAUCCACUUACAAAAAAUGUCAUGAAUCAACUCACUACAUUCUGCCAUGACACUUCUGGGAAAAACAACUCCAUCUUUAUUCUUAUGUGGUCAGCCAUGGGGAAUUUCCCUCACCUGUACAUUUCAAAAUGUAUUAUCUUCAAUCAGUAUGUAACAGAUAGUAAUGUUCUAAGAAAAUGCAUUUUCCAUAAGUCGUUUUUGAUAAUCACUGGGUGCUGGAAGACAGGCUUAGUGACAAGGAAACACAUGCAGAAAUGACACAACCUACCAUCCCUUUACAGAUCAGCUUCUUCUAAAUCAAGAAGGAAAACUGGAUGUAUGAAAGCCAGGUUACAGAUUUUGGGAUGAUACGUCUCUAAUAGCCAUGCAUCCCAUUGAUUGCUUGAUUAUGAGCUGAUUGGAUUUGCUAAAUCACUACUCCCUCCCUCCUUCACUUGUUAUGGAAAGUUCUCCCUGAAAUUGUACAAUCCGUUUAGGGAACUGUAUCAAUAAGGAAUGAUGUUGUCUUCAUAGAACAGACACUACUAAGAGUGACAGUAUUUGCCCCAGAUAACGAGAAGUCUAACAGCAGUCUCUCCAGGCUGGUGUAGCUACUGAAAACUAUUAUCAAGGAUCUAGCUAUUCAUUAGUGUGUAAGCUUCAUCCUCCUGAUUAUGGCCUCCUAUUCACAAAAGUACUGCUACACUCCAGGCAUAGAACUGAUGUUACAGGGAGGAAGAAGAAGAAGAAAAAAAGAAACCUGUGAAAGAACCAUUGGUACCCAUAAUUAAGAAGACAAAAUCUUCCCCAAAGCUAACAAAUACUCACCAGCCACAGCUGUGUCACAUAGCCAUCUCCAGCUUCAAGGCUAUCUGGGAUAUUGAAUUAUUUUAGGUGGCUUUGACUGCCUAUCAACAAAGUUGGGAUUUUUUUAUUCUUGUUACUAAAAUUGUUUUAUUAAAAUUACAUAUUGAACAAAGAGCAUUAUCUGCUAAACAGGCUUUCAGUAACACAUUGUUAGAGACGCUGGUUCUGUAAAACCUGACUCCUGUUGGUGCACAUGAGUUGUGUAUAUUGGCUCUCUCACCAUCUGAACAACAUAAAUAUUAUAUAUAUUUUGAGUAAUCACUUAAAUACAUUUUGUUUCAUGUACAUUUAAAUACAUUAAAUGUAUUUUCUUCACAUGUAGAACAAUUUAUAUGAUGUACUUAUUAAUAUUUGCUACAAAAUCCCUAUUGAGUUUACUACUUCAUAUCUUUUACACUACCUUCAAAAACACAAUUUCCUCCAACCGUUUAAUAUUUCAGAAUAUCCUACUGCUAUCUACUUUAGAAUCUUAAAGGCAUUCCUUCUCCUGUGACUUCUCUCCUCCUCAAAGGGAGGAGACUUCUCUCCUCAAGCACUACUUGACCUUGCCUUUUGUCUAUGAGGACAAGUAAAGAUCAGCCUCCAUUUCAAGGAUAAUCAUGCAAAUUUGUUAUUUUUUUUAGAAAUAAAUGUUUUAUUUUAGAAUAGUUUGUGACUUACAAAAAAGUUGUAGAGAAUUCCCAUAAACUCCACACCCAGUUUCCAUGAGCUCGUAUUUGGCAAAAUGUCUCUCAAAAUCUGUCUGAUAUUUUUCUUUUUUUUUUUUUUCAACAUUUUUAUUUAUUUUUGGGACAGAGAGAGACAGAGCAUGAACAGGGGAGGGGCAGAGACAGAGGGAGACACAGAAUCUGAAACAGGCUCCAGGCUCCAAGCCAUCAGCCCAGAGCCUGACGCGGGGCUCGAACUCACGGACCGCGAGAUCGUGACCUGGCUGAAGUCGGACGCUUAACCGACUGCGCCACCCAGGCGCCCCUGUCUGAUAUUUUUCUAAUGAUUACACAAGAGUUAUAUAUUUUGAGGAGAAAAACCACAGAAGUAAAGUGUCAUUUUCAUCAUAUAACCAAGGGUACAUGCUAUCAACAUGGCUUUAUCGUUCAUAUUAGCCUUGGUCACCUAAUUGAGGUAGUAUUUUCAGGUUUCUCUCCUGUGAAAUUACCUUUUUUUUUUAACCUCCUUUUCCAUUUUUUUUGGAAAGAAGUCACUAGAUGUAUUACACACUUAAGAAGUAGGGAGCUAUUCCCCUCUUUCUUGAGGGAAGAAUAUCUAUACAAAUUAUUUGGAAUUUUUCUGCAUGGAGAUUUAUCUAUUUCCCCCCACUAGUUUAUAUAUUCAAUCAUUUAUUUAUAACAGUAUAGAUAUAUGGGCAUUUUGUUUCUAUUUUGAACUAUGAUCCAAUACUUUAUUGUGCCAUUGUUCAAAAUGGUUCCAAUUUGGGCCAUUGGGAGUUUUCAUUUGAUUCCUGUGUCCCUUUGACAUACUUUUAUCAUUGAUAUCUGUCUUUCCUUUGUUCCUUUUGUUUUCUUGGUACUUUCUUACUAUAUGACUACAAGAUGCUCCAAGAUCAUCUUGUGUAUUUCCUGCCUUAGCCCUGGAUUCGCCAUUUCUCCAAGAAGCCUUGGCUCUUUUUAUUGGAGAAUGGCAUUAGAAAUCAACAGAGAACAAACUGAGGGUUGAUGGAGGGGGGUGUGUGGGGGAUGGGGUACAUAGGUGAUGGGUAUUAAGGAGGGCACUUGUUAUGAGCACUGGGUGUUGUAUGUAAGUGAUGAAUCACUGAAUUCUACUCCAGAAACCAAUAUUACACUAGAAUUUAAAUAAAAAUUUGGGGGGAAAAAUCAAGCAGUUAGGUGCAAAUUUACUUUUAAGUGGCAGUUGUGAUAUGGUAAGAAGUACACCUGAAUUGGACUCAAAUUUGGAAUGAGAGAAAAGGUUCAAAGCCUCGUUCUAUCAUUUCCUAACUGUGUUAUCUUGGCUAUGUUAUUUAUCUUCUCUGUCCCUUCGCUUCCUCCUAUGUAGUGGUAGUAAUAAUAGUCAAUUCCUGUAGAAAGGGGCUUCUCAACCUGGACACUGUUGACAAAUGUGCAAGAUAAUUCUUUGUUGUAAGGAGCUAUCCUGUGCAUUGUGUAGCAUUUAGCAGCAUGUCUGGCCUCUACCCACUAGAUGCCAGUAGGCACGUACCAGUCAUGAUUAUCAAAAACGACUCCAGACAUUGUCAAAUGUUCCCUGGGGGGAAAUAUUGUCCCCAGUUGAGAACUACCGCUGCAGAAUAACUUACUGUGUAUCAGCCACUAAGUAUUCCAAAUAUAUUAUUUUUUAAAAUACAAUAAUCCCAUGACAUUGAUAUUAUUUUACAAAAAAGAAAAGAGUAAAAGAAAAGGUAAGAAGCUUGCCCAAGUUUUCAUAGUUAAUUAGCUAUGUAGCUGAGGUUUGAGGCCAGUCUGACUUUGAAACCUAUGGUUUCAAAUAAUAUCACAACUGCCUCUGUAAAAGCCAUAAUUAAGAAUUCUGCUGUCACAGAGCUGUGAUAAGAGUUAAUGUCAUCUCUAAGAACAUCACACAUGAUUCUUAGAAUAGAGGAGACAUACGGUAAAUGCUGGAAGAACCCAUAUCUGAACCUCCCUCUGACUCCACACCAAGCAUGCUCUAUUUCCUGUACCCCUUGUAGUAUAUACCUUUAGUUCUUGCUUCUGCAAAUUUCUUACCUUCUGCCUACAAACAGGCUCAGCUCUUUUCCAACUGAAGAAAGAGAAUCUUUGCCUGGAUGAGGUUUCUUUUUGCAAGUUAUCAAAUAUUUUAACAUCAUAUUCAUAUUUGUUUUCCCUUCCUUAUCAUUCGCUAUUUCAUAAUGUUUUAAAACCUUAAUCCAUUUCUGCCUAUGUGCUCCUAUUGACCUGAUCCAGCAGGUCAGUGUCAGUGAUCCCCCUGACACUAGAAGGCGCUAGCACUAGGAGGAACUUGAGGAGUGUAGACACCUCCUUGUACAGAUGAGAAAGCCAAAGCAAGAAAUGUUUCAGGACUUGCCAAGGAUAUAUAACUAUUGUGCACUUAGGUUGUUUUUUUUUUCUUCCUGAAAAAGUCCUUCAUGUUGGUCUCUGCUUCACAUGAAGAUGCUCAACACUCCCCCUUAUCUUGUUCCAUUAAUCGUAUUAUCUCCCAUGACCACAACAGUCAUAUCUUAGAUCUUUUAGAUCAAAGAUUUCUUACAUCUUUUCUCUGACCUACCCCAUACCCUGAGCCACAGAUGCACAGCUUUAAUUGCCUAGUGAACAAUAUUACUUAGAUGUCCUACAACUAUCUGAAACAUCUACAAAGUAAAAGUCAUCAUUUUUACUACUGAAGUAUCCCUUUUAACAUCCCUAUCUUUCUUGAUGGGAAAUUUAUUUUAUCAUUAUCACUUCUAUUUUUAUCUUCUUUAUUACCUGGAACAUUUACAUAAUUCAGUGAAUAGCUUCCUACUUCAGCCUUUCCUUCCCUCAUAAUUUUGAAGAUCGUGACACAUUACAUUUCUUAAAACACAACCCUCAUAAUGUGAUAGGCUGCUCAGUAUCUCUGCAUUACUAAGAUCUAUGCAGUUUAAUGCAGUAGCCACUAUCUACCUGUGGCUAUUGAGCCCUUGAAACAUGGUCAUUACAAAGUGAGACAGACUGGAAGUGUAAAAUGCACAUUGGGGUUUGGAAAGAGUACAAAAAAUUAAGUAUAGCAUCUUUAUACUAAUUUUUAUAGGGGUUAAAUGCUGAAUUGGUAAUAUUAUGGAUAUGUUGGGUUAGAGAACAUUAUUAAAAUUAGCUUUACCUUUAUUGAGUGAUUAACAGAAGUUUAAAAUUACGUAUGUGGUUCACAUUAUAUUUCUUUGGACAGUGAUGGCCUGGAUAUGUAAACAUACAUUCAGAUUUUCAUGCAAAAUUUCUACUAUAAUUCCCCAACUUUCCCAACUUCUUUUCCAUUACUACACAUCUGUGUGUAUGUGUGUCUGCAUCACGCACUCCAUUCCGGUGAGAUAAUUGCUAUUCCCUGAGCAUACCCCCAGACGUUACCACUGUCAUGCCUUUGCUCAUGUGGUUCACUCCUAAUGCAGCUCCCUGUCUUCCAUCUCUGCCUAUUAGGACUCUUUCAUCAUCGAAUAACUAAAACCUAAUACAUGAGAGCAUAAGCGAGAAGACAUUUUAUUGGCUGUGUAGUUGAAAAGUCUAGAUGUCAGUUUGAGAAACUGUUGGAUCCAGGGGCUUGAAUAAUGUCAUCAAGACAUAAGACUCACUUUCAUUUGAUCUCUACUCUCUCCUGCCCUGCUUCAUCUCAUACUCUGUCCAUCUCUCACCUCUAUUUUCCUUUGCGUUGCCUUCCAUUUACUUUCAUGUAGUAAACUCCUGUAGCUCCAACUUUUGCAGCCAUAAAAGAGAAAGUUCCUUUUAACUGCACUGGGUCAAAUAUUUUCAAGGUAGUAAUUGUUACCUGACUAGUCAGAUUUGGCCCACAUGCAACUCAUGAAACAAGGAUGGGAUCAACCUCACCCAAGCCACACAGCCUGAGUGUGGAAGGUGGGUCAAGUAGAAGGAAAAUCAAGGCGAUGACCCCAGAAGACAAGGUUUUGGAGCAGACGAAACUAACAGGUGUAACUGACAUUGUUAAAUGUCUAUAGUUCAUCAACGUUUAUCUCAAACAACUUUUCAUAAUGGAAAUAUUCCACCUCCUAAAUUGGAUGUGGUUUCUCCCUUUAAAUUCCCAAUCUCUAUUGUCUGUACCUCUCUUGGGGCAAUUGCCAUAUUUAUUAUAUUUAUUUCUGUGAUCAUAUUAAGUCCAUUGUCUCUAAUCCUUGUUUUAUAAAAGUAUCCCUAAUAAGGUUCUCAUGAGCUAUUGAGUGCAUAAUAUAAAUCGCACAUUUAUUGAAUUGAAUAGAAUUGUUGUUCAGCAUGGAAUCUUUUUAGGUAGGAACUCUAUGCACCUAAAGAGAAAUGCACAGCUAUAAACAAAUAAAAGUGACUUAAUACAGUUAAGUGUUUUAUCAGAUAAAAAGUAGUACUUAAUUGCUGUAUUCAUACAGAAUGUAAAGAAAAUUCUGAUUUAUAGUAAUAGAUUAAAAUAUUUUAAAACAACUAUUAUUUUACAUGUGACUAUUGAGUUAUAAGAGAAAAAGUAUUAUAGGUGAAAAGAAGUGUUAGAAAAUAAAGAAGUCAGAAAGGGAAAGAAAACAGGCAAGGUGAAGAGAGAAUCAGGCAGAGUAGGAAGGAGGAAGAAAGAGUGUCACUGGGAGGAGAAACCAGCAAAAAGCAGCAGAGUGCAAAACUAAGAUUAAAAAUCUGUUUUCUGUUUCCUAUGCAUUAAAGACAAGGGGAAAGAAAAACAGAGGGAAAAAAAAUUGAUCACAUGGGGUAUAAACAAUCAUACACUAAAAUUAAAAGGUAAACAGCAAUUUGGAGGAAAAAGUGUUAACAAGGAUUAUAGAUAAGAACAGUGUCUGACACAUAGUAGAUUCAUUAAAUAUGUGAAUACACCCUCACGUUUUUAUUUUUUUUUAAAUUUUUUUUUCAACGUUUAUUUAUUUUUGGGACAGAGAGAGACAGAGCAUGAACGGGGGAGGGGCAGAGAGAGAGGGAGACACAGAAUCGGGAAUAGGCUCCAGGCUCUGAGCCAUCAGCCCAGAGCCCGACGCGGGGCUCGAACUCACGGACCGCGAGAUCGUGACCUGGCUGAAGUCGGCGCUUAACCGACUGCGCCACCCAGGCGCCCCAACCCUCACGUUUUUAAUAUAUAAGGAGCUCCUGCAAACACAAUUAUAGUAGAAAAACUGUCAAAGACGUGAUCGAAAGAAGAAACAAAUAAUUAAUAAACAUGUAAAAUUAAAAGUGAAAUUUUAGUAAGCCCAAAAUGCAAAAUCAAACAAUAAGAUAUUUUGAACUCGCAUUGGUAGGUGAAUGCAAAUUUAUACUUUUCUAGAAAACAAUUUAAUACUGUAUGUUUAGCUACUGCCAACGUUACGAAGGCAUACAAAAAUAAACAUUUAUUUCUCACGUACAGGUGUUGGGGGCAGGAGGAUGGUUCUGCUUCAUACUGAAACUCUGGUUGGUGUGGCUCUCUUCUCUGUGGAUCUCAUCCUUCUCCUGAAACCAGGAGAAAGGUUUGCUUUGGCAGAGGUAGGAGAGGGAAAAUGGAAAUGUGCUAGACUCCUAUGGAUCCAGGCUCAGAACUCACACAGACCAGAAGCCAAAGCGAAUCAUAAAACCACAUUCUGGGUCAAGGUGUGAGGACAUACACUCCACACAGAAUGACACCACGGAAGAGUCAUGGACUCAGUGGAGGAGGAAGAAUUGAGCCAAGCAUUUAAUCUCCUACAGGUAGUUUUCUGGAAAGCUUUUACAAAAGUCCAGAAGUUUCAAACUGAUGACCCAACUGCAAAAUCCUACUGCUGUUUUUGUUUUGGUGGUUGUGUCCUGAGUGCCCUUAAAUGGGGCAUGCAUUCUCCCCUGUCUCUACCGGACCGGGCUGUCUUACACUCGGCUGCUUUUUAGGGACUUGACUUCACCCUGCAGGCAUCUGAGCUUGAGUUCUCUGGUUUACAGUUAUGCCAUUACACCACUAUUUCUAAUUAUGAAAAACUGGAAAUUCAUCAAAGGUCCAAAAAGAGGAAAAUAGACAAGGUCUUGAUAGAACAUGAAUAUUAUGUAGCCAAAAUUAUGUAAAAUUAUAUUUCAUAACAUUUGGAAAGCCUUUCGGGAUAGUAAUAAAAUUAAUCAGGAUUUAUAGUUAUAUGUAAUUAUGUUUUACAUGUUAUAAAUGAAUAAUGUAUGUAUACAUUAUAACCUUUAUUAAAGAGAGGAUGGUAAGGAAUAUAUCAAAUAUUAUGUGACCAUCUCUGAAUGUUAAGAUGACCAACAAUUGUUUUCUUCUUUGUAUCAUUCCAUAUAAUCAUAAUUUCCUAUGAUAAGUAUUGUUGCUUUCAUAAUGCAAAAAUGUAUAAAAAAUAAACUGCUCUUUUGCCCACAAAUCUGUUAGGAUUUAAAAGUGAUUUCACAUAAUACCAUCCCUUCC
rnacentral:lncRNA from 1 species